rnacentral:lncRNA from 1 species
AUCAGUCCAGGUGCCUCUGAAAAUCUUAUACUCGGAGGGAGCUGAAGGUGGCAGGAUCAUCAUUGCCUCAUCUGUAAGCGAAACUCCCGAACUCUUGCACAGAUCCCGUGAGGUCACAUCCAGCAGUUGCUCUGUAAUCUCCUGCCCGUGUCCUGAACGUUCCUGGCCUACUAAGCUUAUGAGAAGCUCCAUUCAUGGCAGAGCCUGUGCAUAAAAGAGGUGAUAGAUAUCUGUAUGUGUGAACUUGGAAGGGAAAAGGCAGGCUUGGGUUAUGGUCUUACCUUGGGAGAUGAAGGUAUGCGAUGCACUGAGAAGUGGGCUCCUGCAAAGCCGGUGUUGAAGGACAUCAGAGUUCAUUUGCAAGUUACACAUGCAGAUGUGGCUUACGUUGACUAAACCUCUCUGCGUUGGAGCGUCCUGGGAGAAUCUGAGCAGCUAUCCCAAAGGCAUCAAUGGAAAGGUACUCUCUAGAAGAGAUAGCCGAGCGUGAUAUUGGAAGUCAGUGUAACAAAUAGCGUAGG